rnacentral:rRNA from 1 species
UGCGUAGGCGGACUAAUAAGCCAGUGGUGAAAUCUUUCGGCUCAACCGAGAAACUGCCAUUGAUACUGUUAGUCUUGAGUUCGGUUGAGGUAGGCGGAAUGUGUAAUGUAGCGGUGAAAUGCUUAGAUAUUACACAGAACACCAAUUGCGUAGGCAGCUUACUAGACCGACACUGACGCUGAGGCACGAAAGCGUGGGGAGCGAACAGGAUUAGAUACCCUGGUAGUCC